AGCACCCAAGGAGGAGCCGGGCACGGGGCAGGCGUGGCAGGGGAAGCCCAGAGGAGAUGAAAUCUGAGCUGUGCCUUCACAGUAGCUUGGCCCUCGGAAGUGGGAGAGUGGGCGAGGACUCCGGAGACACCUCAGCCUGCAGUAUGGAGACAAGAGGACCCUCAUGUUAAGCUAAAGAAGCAGAAGCACCCACUCUCAUUGGCUGAGACAUGGUCCUGGGCCAGACCCAAGACCCAGGCACCAGCUGCCUUCUAAUUCAAACCAUCAGGACGGGGAGGCUUACAUGUGCUGAGUCUCAAAACGCCUGUAGAAAGAAAACUGCUCCCCACACCAGACAGGAGCCAGACGGGGCAGCAGGUUUGGUCAAGAGGCCUCCGGACAAAAGACUGUGAGAGCCUCGCUGGGCACCCUCACAUCCAACCCAGGUCCUCACCUGACACCUUCCAUGGGACACGUUUGGCACUGGUCACUCUACCCACAUCCAAGAGGGCCCACCACCCACCAGGAACUGCAAGGCUUUGGAGAGAUCAUCAUAGCUGUUAUUGUAGUUCACGCCGAUUGAGCUUGUGUUGUACGCCAGCAACUAUGCUAAGUGCUUUAUGUUCACUAUCUCUUGACCACCUACUAUUAUUCCAUUUUGCAGAAGAGAAUGAUGAGUCUUAGCAAAGUGAAAAGCCUCUGCCUCAGGUCCUCCAGCAAGAAGGAAAGAGGUGGGCUCCCAACCCUGGGUCUGCCUCCAGGGCUUCACUGCUCCAGGGCCUUGCCGCCCAGCAAAUACAAGAUGUAAGCAUCCAUAUGCACACUCACGCACACACUCUGUUCAUGGUGAAUUUUAUCAAUAUAAACCGGCUGCCAUCAUCCCGUUAAAUACAAUUCCUUCCUCCUUGUUAA